GAGGAGCCUGAGAAACGGCUACUGCAUCCAAGGAAGGCAGCAGGCGCGCAAAUUACCCAAUCCCGAUUCGGGGAGGUAGUGGCAAUAAAUACUGAUACAGGGCUCUUUAGGGCCUUGUAAUUGGAAUGAGUACAAUUUAAAUCCCUUAACAAGGAACAAUUGGAGGGCAAGUCUGGUGCCAGCAGCCGCGGUAAUUCCAGCUCCAAUAGCGUAUAUUAAAGUUGUUGCAGUUAAAAAGCUCGUAGUUGAAACUCUGGCUGUUCGAUCCUCGAGCUCUGUAGCCGAGGACUCGACAGUCAUCCGCUUGCAAAUAUGUGUUCGCCUUUAACCGGGUGACCAUAUGAGCAAGCAAUUUACCUUGAGAAAAACAGAGUGUUCCAGGCAGGUUUGUCCGGAAUGCAUUAGCAUGGAAUAAUAGAAUAUGACUGAAGUCGAUUUAUUGGUUUGAGGCUUUAGUAAUGAUUAAUAGGAACAGUCGGGGGCAUUGGUACUUGACAGUCAGAGGUGAAAUUCUAGGAUUUGUCAAAGACUAACAAAUGCGAAAGCAUUUGCCAGGAUGUUUUCA
rnacentral:rRNA from 1 species